GACGGAGGGGGCAAGCGUUGUCCGGAGUUACUGGGCGUAAAGCGCACGCAGGCGGUCUGCUAAGUUUGGAGUGACAGUUGGUGGCUCAACCACCAAAGUGCUUUGAAAACUGACAGACUUGAGGGCUUCAGAGGGACACGGAAUUCCGGGUGGAGUGGUGAAAUGCGUAGAGAUCCGGAGGAACACCGAAGGCGAAGGCAGUGUCCUGGGGAGUACCUGACGCUCAGGUGCGAAAGCUAGGGGAGCGAACGGG
rnacentral:rRNA from 1 species